rnacentral:rRNA from 1 species
GGUUACCUACGGGAGGCAGCAGUGGGGGAUAUUCCACAAUGGGGGAAACCCUGAUGCAGCGACGCCGCGUGAGUGAAGAAGUAUUUCGGUACGUAAAGCUCUAUCAGCAGGGAAGAAAAAUGACGGUACCUGACUAAGAAGCCCCGGCUAACUACGUGCCAGCAGCCGCGGUAAUACGUAGGGGGCAAGCGUUAUCCGGAAUUAUUGGGUGUAAAGGGUGCGUAGACGGAAGAACAAGUUGGUUGUGAAAUCCCUCGGCUCAACUGAGGAACUGCAACCAAAACUAUUCUCCUUGAGUGUCGGAG